GUUGUAUGGUUAAGUGACUAAGCGUACACGGUGGAUGCCUUGGCAGUUGGAGGCGAUGAAGGACGUACUAACUUGCGAUAAGCCUAGUCAAGCCAGUAAGAGGCGCUUGAGACUAGGAUUUCCGAAUGGGGAAACCCACCUGCUUGCAGGUAUCGUUAACUGAAUACAUAGGUUAACGAGGCGAACGCGGAGAACUGAAACAUCUAAGUACCCGUAGGAAAAGAAAUCAACCGAGAUUCCGAAAGUAGCGGCGAGCGAAAUCGGAGCAGCCCUUAAGCUUUAGUGUAGUUAGUGGAAUAUGCUGGAAAGCAUGACGAAACAGGGUGAUAGUCCCGUACACAAAAACUUAUCUAAAGUGAAAUCGAGUAGGUCGGAGCACGUGAAACUUUGACUGAAUAUGGGGGGACCAUCCUCCAAGGCUAAAUACUCCCAACUGACCGAUAGUGAACCAGUACCGUGAGGGAAAGGCGAAAAGAACCCCUGUGAGGGGAGUGAAAUAGAACCUGAAACCGUGUACGUACAAGCAGUAGGAGCCUACUUGUUGGGUGACUGCGUACCUUUUGUAUAAUGGGUCAGCGACUUAUAUUCUGUAGCGAGGUUAACCAUUUAGGGGAGCCGUAGCGAAAGCGAGUCUUAACUGGGCGCUUAAGUUGCAGGGUAUAGACCCGAAACCCGGUGAUCUAGCCAUGGGCAGGUUGAAGGUUGAGUAACAUCAACUGGAGGACCGAACCCACUAACGUUGAAAAGUUAGGGGAUGACCUGUGGCUAGGAGUGAAAGGCUAAUCAAACCGGGAGAUAGCUGGUUCUCCCCGAAAUCUAUUUAGGUAGAGCCUCGGACGAAUACUUACGGGGGUAGAGCACUGUUAAGGCUAGGGGUCAUCCCGACUUACCAACCCUUUGCAAACUCCGAAUACCGUAAAGUAAUAUCCGGGAGACACACGGCGGGUGCUAACGUCCGUCGUGGAGAGGGAAACAACCCAGACCGUCAGCUAAGGUCCCAAAGUGUAUGUUAAGUGGGAAACGAUGUGGGAAGGCUAAAACAGCUAGGAGGUUGGCUUAGAAGCAGCCACCCUUUAAAGAAAGCGUAAUAGCUCACUAGUCGAGUCGGCCUGCGCGGAAGAUGUAACGGGGCUAAACAUACCACCGAAGCUACGGCUGCGUACGUAAGUAUGCGGGGUAGGGGAGCGUUCUGUAAGUGGCUGAAGGUGUGCCGGGAGGCAUGCUGGACAUAUCAGAAGUGCGAAUGCUGACAUGAGUAACGACAAGAGGAGUGAAAAACUCCUCCGCCGGAAGACCAAGGGUUCCUAUCCCAUGUUAAUCAGGGUAGGGUGAGUCGACCCCUAAGGCGAGGCUGAAGAGCGUAGUCGAUGGGAAACGGGUUAAUAUUCCCGUACUCGGUAUGAAUGCGAUGGGGGGACGGAGCAGGCUAGGCAAGCAUGGCGUUGGUUGUCCAUGUGAAAGGCUGUAGGCUGGUGACUUAGGAAAAUCCGGGUUGCCAAGGCUGAGAGUCGAGACGAGCCACCAAGGUGGUGAAGUUGUUGAUGCCCUACUUCCAGGAAAAGCCUCUAAGCUUCAGUUCAUACUGAAUCGUACCCUAAACCGACACAGGUGGUCAGGUAGAGAAUACUAAGGCGCUUGAGAGAACUCGGGUGAAGGAACUAGGCAAAAUUGUACCGUAACUUCGGGAGAAGGUACGCUCUUGUUUGUGAAGGACUUGCUCUGUAAGCAAACGAGAGCCGCAGUGACCAGGUGGCUGGGACUGUUUAUUAAAAACACAGCACUGUGCAAAAUCGUAAGAUGACGUAUACGGUGUGACACCUGCCCGGUGCCGGAAGGUUAAUUGAUGGGGUUAGACUUCGGUCGAAGCUCUUGAUCGAAGCCCCGGUAAACGGCGGCCGUAACUAUAACGGUCCUAAGGUAGCGAAAUUCCUUGUCGGGUAAGUUCCGACCUGCACGAAUGGUGUAACCAUGGCCACGCUGUCUCCACCCGAGACUCAGUGAAAUUGAAAUCGCAGUGAAGAUGCUGUGUACCCGCGGCUAGACGGAAAGACCCCGUGAACCUUUACUACAGCUUGGCACUGAACAUUGACCCUACAUGUGUAGGAUAGGUGGGAGGCUUUGAAGCAGGAACGCUAGUUUCUGUGGAGCCGACCUUGAAAUACCACCCUUGUAGUGUUGAUGUUCUAACUUAGGCCCCUGAAUCGGGGUUGAGGACAGUGCCUGGUGGGUAGUUUGACUGGGGCGGUCUCCUCCCAAAGAGUAACGGAGGAGCACGAAGGUUUGCUAAGUACGGUCGGACAUCGUACGGUUAGUGUAAUGGUAGAAGCAAGCUUAACUGCGAGACAGACACGUCGAGCAGGUACGAAAGUAGGUCAUAGUGAUCCGGUGGUUCUGAAUGGAAGGGCCAUCGCUCAACGGAUAAAAGGUACUCCGGGGAUAACAGGCUGAUACCGCCCAAGAGUUCAUAUCGACGGCGGUGUUUGGCACCUCGAUGUCGGCUCAUCACAUCCUGGGGCUGAAGUCGGUCCCAAGGGUAUGGCUGUUCGCCAUUUAAAGUGGUACGCGAGCUGGGUUUAGAACGUCGUGAGACAGUUCGGUCCCUAUCUGCCGUGGGCGUUUGAGAAUUGAGAGGGGCUGCUCCUAGUACGAGAGGACCGGAGUGGACGAACCGCUGGUGUUCGGGUUGUGAUGCCAAUUGCAUUGCCCGGUAGCUACGUUCGGAACUGAUAACCGCUGAAAGCAUCUAAGCGGGAAGCAGGCCUCGAGAUGAGUUCUCACUUUGACUUAGAGUCAACUGAAGGGCCGUUGAAGACUACAACGUUGAUAGGCGAGAUGUGGAAGUGCUGUGAGGCAUUAAGCUAACUCGUACUAAUUACCCGUGAGGCUUAACCAUACAACGCCAAAGUGGUUU
rnacentral:rRNA from 1 species